UCCCCGGUAGCUCAGCGGCAGAGCCACUCGCUGUUAACGAGGGGGUCGUAGGUUCGAAUCCUACCCGGGGAG
rnacentral:tRNA from 1 species